GCCGAGGUAGCUCAGUGGCAGAGCAGCUGUUUUGUAAACAGCAGGUCGUGGGUCCGAAUCCCACCCUCGGCU
rnacentral:tRNA from 1 species